AAAUAUUGAUUACUGUAUUUGGUACAUACAGAUAAUGUUACAGUAAAAUUACUGAAAAUCUUGAUUGACAUGCUUAGUACGACAAUCAGAUUAUUAAUAUGAAAUUAAAUUUUUAACAUACCUUCAAUAAUUUUAUCCUAGUGCUCUUCUUUUUUCUUGAUAAAAAAUAAUAGGAGUGAUGUGGGUGUGGUGGUGGCAU
rnacentral:lncRNA from 1 species